GAUGAGCGCUGGCGGCGUGCCUAAUACAUGCAAGUCGAGCGAACGGACGAGAAGCUUGCUUCUCUGAUGUUAGCGGCGGACGGGUGAGUAACACGUGGAUAACCUACCUAUAAGACUGGGAUAACUUCGGGAAACCGGAGCUAAUACCGGAUGAUAUUUUGAACCGCAUGGUUCAAAAGUGAAAGACGGUCUUGCUGUAACUUAUAGAUGGAUCCGCGCUGCAUUAGCUAGUUGGUAAGGUAACGGCUUACCAAGGCAACGAUGCAUAGCCGACCUGAGAGGGUGAUCGGCCACACUGGAACUGAGACACGGUCCAGACUCCUACGGGAGGCAGCAGUAGGGAAUCUUCCGCAAUGGGCGAAAGCCUGACGGAGCAACGCCGCGUGAGUGAUGAAGGUCUUCGGAUCGUAAAACUCUGUUAUUAGGGAAGAACAUAUGUGUAAGUAACUGUGCACAUCUUGACGGUACCUAAUCAGAAAGCCACGGCUAACUACGUG
rnacentral:rRNA from 1 species